UACGUAGGGUGCGAGCGUUAAUCGGAAUUACUGGGCGUAAAGCGUGCGCAGGCGGUUCGUUAAGUCAGCUGUGAAAGCCCCGGGCUCAACCUGGGAACUGCGGUUGAAACUGGCGAACUAGAAUCUGGCAGAGGGGGGUGGAAUUCCACGUGUAGCAGUGAAAUGCGUAGAGAUCCGGAGGAACACCAGAGGCGAAGGCGGCCUACUGGGUCAGUACUGACGCUGAGCCGCGAAAGCCAGGGGAGCGAACGGG
rnacentral:rRNA from 1 species